UGACAUGUGACUGUGACAAAGUUGUUUGAUUGGUUGAAAGUUCCUAUCUGUGGUUUUAGUCUUUGUUUCUUUGUGUUUCGGUACAUUUGAAUUUCGACGUCAUUGAAGCAGGAGCUAUGUCUUCGAAUUCAUCUGUCACCAUAUAGAGUCGUAUUCCUGUAUUGUUCACAUCUGUUGUGCGGUAUAUGACGAUCAUGGGAGUGAGCAUUGUUUAGCCUCACGUUGAUGCACUAUACGUGUUAACGUGGGUUUUUGAGUAAUAAUAAAACCUUUGAAAUCAAACGAA